rnacentral:rRNA from 1 species
GGGAACUACGAGCAUAAGCUUAAAACCCAAAGGACUUGGCGGUGCUUUAGACCCCCCUAGAGGAGCCUGUUCUAGAACCGAUAACCCCCGUUCGACCUCACCUUUUCUUGUUCGUCCCGUCUAUAUACCGCCGUCGUCAGCAUACCCUGUGAAGGAAAUAUAGUAAGCAAAAUUGGUAAAGCCCAAAACGCCAGGUCGAGGUGUAGCAUACGAAAAGGAAAGAAAUGGGCUACAUUUCCUCUUACAGGAAACACGAAUUGUGUCAUGAAAUAACACAUGAAGGAGGAUUUAGCAGUAAGCAGAAAACAGAGUGUUCUACUGAACCCGGCCCUGAAGCACGCACACACCGCCCGUCACCCUCCCCAAAAAUCAAAAUAUAUCUAUAUUUAAAAACUUACCUAAACUAAAGGGGAGGUAAGUCGUAACAUGGUAAGUGUACCGGAAGGUGCACUUGGAAUAAA